AUUGAACGCUGGCGGCAAGCCUAACACAUGCAAGUCGAACGGAGUGGCGGACGGGUGAGUAAUGCCUAGGAAUCUGCCUGGUAGUGGGGGAUAACGUCCGGAAACGGGCGCUAAUACCGCAUACUCUCAGAUGAGCCUAGGUCGGAUUAGCUGGUUGGUGGGUUAAAGGCCUACCAGGGCGACGAUCCGUAACUGGUCUGAGAGGAUGAUCAGGACAACGGGAACUGAGACACGGCCCAGACUCCUACGGGAGGAAGCAGUGGGGAAGAUUGGACAAUGGGGUAAAGCCUGAUCCAGCCAUGCCGCUUGUUGGAAGAAGGUCUUCGGAUUGUAAAGCACUUUAAGUUGGGAGGCGUUACCAACAGAAUAAGCACCGGCUAACUUCGUGCCAGCAGCCGCGGUAAUAC
rnacentral:rRNA from 1 species